rnacentral:rRNA from 1 species
UACGGAGGGUGCAAACGUUGCUCGGAAUUAUUGGGCGUAAAGCGCACGUAGGCGGCCGACUAAGUCGGGUGUGAAAGCCCUGGGCUCAACCCGGGAACUGCGUCCGAUACUGACAGGCUUGAAUCCGGGAGAGGGAUGCGGAAUUCCAGGUGUAGCGGUGAAAUGCGUAGAUAUCUGGAGGAACACCGGUGGCGAAGGCGGCAUCCUGGACCGGCAUUGACGCUGAGGCGCGAAAGCCAGGGGAGCAAACGGG